GUAUCUAUUUGGCUUUUAAACAUCUUAACGCCUAUUUUAUUGCCAGAAAGGGUUAAAGCCUAUUCUUAUUUUUUUCAUCAUUUUGAUACUGGCAGAAAGGUCCCAUAGAUAAAUCCACCCAUCAGCACCCCGGUCCUCUUACGCCAAUUCACAGAAUCGCCGAGGAAAAUUUGAGUGGAGCGAUUCGCUCGCCCCUCUCCACUCGAUUUAUUUGAGGAGUUCAAAUCUCUAACAUUACCAUUCAUGAUGGCACAGGUAUAAUGUCAAUGUUAAGCUAUGGCCACCGCCACCUGCCAGAGGCAAUCUUCUAAUGAAGUCGUCACGUGAUGUGCAAAUAUGCAACAUUGACUUGGUGCGGUUUUUCUUUUUGUAUCAAAUUGCAGCAGGAUAUAUGUGGAACUGCGAACGAUUGGCACGGUUGGCUAAGUACGGUGCGAAAUAAGUUCAACACAGUACGCGCAUGAAAACACACACUUAGACAGGUUUCGCUGGAGGUUACAUCAGGCAUCGUCAGGCGUUAGGAUCAGCACUGCACGCUCAGGGGAUAGAGCGCCUCCAUCCGUGAUUGUUAAGUAGGCCGGGUGACGCCAUCAGCACGAUGGUGCACGUGAUCCAAUUUAAUAAUUAAUUAAUCAGAGUUGAUUGGUUGUGAUUGGCAGGUUUAAUGAGUUGAAUCUAUUUGGCGGUUCUUGAGAAUGGGCAGUCCUUAAUUGCAUUAAGGCGCAACUGUGUUUGGCAAUUAAGCUGAAGUGUUAUUGCUAUUGUGAUUCUAGUUAACAAACCGUAACUCUUUACACCUGGUACAAUCAAUUAUUCCUAAUUAUACCUUAUGCUGUACCUCCUCCCGAGGUGAGUUUAUACACAAUUAAACUUUGCGAUAAUUAAUAUCAAUCAUAACCAGUGCAGCACGCUUUAAUAUUAUUAAGGAUAGCCCAUUUUCACUGACAAUUAAAUUGAUAUAUCGUGUUACACUGUUUUAAACAUGUAAAUUACAAUCAACGAAGCAGCAAUUAACUCUGAUUAUUCACGCGGUUCAACCGUGACGCUGUCCUGAUGACGUCUUGGUACCUACCUUAGGGCCCAGAUCAGCAAUCGAUCAAUUCAAGAUUGCUUCUGGCAGGUGGAUGGUGGAGGGUUAUGUCCGCUAAUUGUCAUUUAUUAUUCUCAUUCUUCCCUCUACACGAUUUGGCCGUAAAAGAAACCGAUUAUGAAUCGUAAUAUCUGUCGUGAAAGUCUGCACGUGAAACGUAACUUCACCGUUUGCAUUUGUAAUCCCCAUAUUACUACUACUACUGCAAUCUGGUGUAGGUGCAGUGGUUCGUGCACUGCACUAUAAAUCCCGCGAGAAGACUUCACUUCCCAGGCACGGCACACAUCAGCGCGUUCUUAAGCAUCUGGGUGAAGUUCUCGGAUGGCGACUGGACAAACGGAGAAGGCGGAUACGAUGAUGAUGAUGAUAACACAACGACAAUUUGCAUUCAUAUAGCUGUCAAUUCAACCGCAUCUCCAAAUGCUUAACAUAAUAGAAACACAACUGUAAGCACAUGACGACAAAUUGUGUCCUCGAUAUUAACUUGAACACGGGCAGUAGAGUCUGAAUUGCACAAAGUCCAAUAAAAAAAUGAUUCCAGCCACAGGACGGUAAGCUCAGCAGGCGCCACCACCCAUGGCAGGAACAUUUACCGUGGCUGGCUUUGCAAGAAGAAGAAGACCUUUUUUUAUUGCUACUGGACCAGAGACCAUGUGCUGGAGAGUAAAGUGAGAUGAGAGAGGAGAGGUAGCCAGAGCCAAGACCGUGAAUAUGUUUUGUUUUUAAAUCUCUGCAAUCUUAAAAUGAAUCUGAGACCUUUUUAAUGAUGGAAAACACUGGCGCCCGCAGACUUUGUUUGGGGUGACCUGUGGCAGUAGCACGGCACGUACACACAUUUCAAAAUGUUCUCUAACUUUACACUAAAACCGGUUGAGCGCAGCAAAUUCGAGAGUGCGGCAGUUAGCGGCGUUAGCGCCGCUCUGGGGCUCGUUAAACCAUAAACAGUCAUUAAGUAUAAUGUGCCCCAGCCUCACGAGAAAAAAUCAUCCUGCUUAGCAUUACUAGAUGAUGAUGAUGAGAAAGACGGUGACUAAAAUUCUAUUUUUGUUGUUUGUAUUUAUUUAUUUACGGCGUAUCAGGAAUAGUCCAUUAGACGGGACCUGAAGAGACAUUUGAGAUGUUUUUUUUAAAUAUAUGUUUUUAUUUUAUCAAGGGGUAAGGGGUUGGAUGACUUUACUGUAAAAACUCAUAACAUUACAAUGAAAUUAAUUAGUGUGUUCAAGAGACACGAGUCACCUGAUACAACAGGGCCCUGGUAGUAUUAUUUUAUGCAUCGUGCUAAUAAAUUGGAUGUUGUCGCGGGGUAAUUGUUAGCACAUUGUGCCCGAAAUUCAGAGGUCGCCGGUUCGAUUUCCCGGCGCUGUCGUUGAAACGAUUCCGCCCCCUCCGCUCCCCUCCACCCCCCCCCCCCCCGAUCUCUAUCCACCCAGCAUUGUAAAUGGGUCGCAUCCAGGUAAUCGUACGCAAUUUGGAGGGGGGGCAGGUGGUAAAUUGUGGGUACUCGGACACCUCCUUUAAAGACGUCUGGCCGGUGUGGAAGAAUAGGCCAAAAAUACCCUCUCUGGAACUCCUGCCAAGGAGUGGCACAAGCAACGCAUUUGCAUGGCUGCAUGUUUACUUUCCCGCACCUCUGAUUUAGCACGAUUGGCUACGUACGGUGCGAAAGAAGUUCUACAUUAUCCAUACUGUUAACAUAUACUUUGUGCGUGCAGCACAUGUGUAAUUUAUUGCCACAUAUGAGCGGCAUGCCCUGUCAUUUAAAAUUCUCAUCUCCUUUUUUUGGCUUCGUGGUCCAGCCGAUUUUACGUCCUGAAACCAAGCCCUUGCCUCUGACCCGAGCUUUAAUGAGGGUCGCCCAGUCUGUACCAAUAAUGACGCAUGCACAAGGGUUGCGCUAUGUUUUCAGGUACUGCUGAUACUCAUCGCUGGCCCGUGCCCACGUUUCCUGCUGAUUUAUUUUUUAAAGACAAAUUUGAAAAAAAAAAUGAGCCUUUCUAAAACAUUUUGGAUCUGAAUGUUUUUGCACGUUUUUAGAUUGAUCCGAAAAUGCUGUGUCAUGUGACGUGAUCUCACCCCCCCCCACCAAACUUUCUUCCAGACAUUAUGUGACGUUGACAUAGUUUUGACCGUCAAAUUGACUUAAAUUAUUCAAUGUAAAAAUGUGUACAUGAACAUUUUCAUUUUACUGAUGCCAUUUACGAUCGCGAUUCAAUCUUUUAUUUUAUUAUUGAAUGCAUGUACGUUGAACUUCUUUCACACCGUACAUAGCCAAUCGUGUUCAUCGGUGAUGCAGGGGAAGGACAAUUCACUAAAUAUGGUGUAUAAACAAUGAUAUAAUUUAAUCCAAAAAUACAAAUCGGAGCAAAAAAUCAGAAAUUUGGCCUAAAAUCCCAAAUCGUAAUAUCUAAACAAAUCUCAUCUGUGCUGUAUAUGUAUUCGCUGGGCGUAUUAUUAUUGACUUUGAUUAGCAUCCCACUACAAGGUGGUAGAGUUUAAACAUUUGUAUUGUUAUUAUUUUAAAAAAAAGCCUGCCCAUUUUGUCUGGCCAAUCGUAUGAGUGCUUCCACCCAUGCUGCACUCGGCUUAAUCACAGUUAGUCAAUAAAUAAAUAUUUGAUUCG